rnacentral:lncRNA from 1 species
UUGACGAAAAAAUGCAUAUGAAGGCCAGAUACCUGUGUCCUGAGGCCAUCAGACACUUCCCUAAUGAACUACUGAAUGUGUAAAAUAAUUAAUCAUUCUGAGAAGAGAGAAGAAAUUUGGUAUGGAUUCAUAAAGGAUGGGACCAAAGCAUGAAUAGAAAGGAAGACUGGUAGAAGACAAUAUUGGGAAGGGUUUCUGGACCUUCAUUUUGCAAAUCAGUUCAGCAGAUGACUGAGCUAAUGAAUGAGUUCUUAAUUGGUCAGAGAAUCUAAACAAGUCUCUAGAUGAGAUAUUGGCUUGCCUGUCCCUAGCCUAUAUAGCAAUACCAGUGAUUACCAUUCUCCUGUUGUGUGAAGACACAUCUGCAGAUAACCAGGACUACUCUGCAUCUCCAAUAACACUUCCUUGGUUCUAAAUAUUCACAGUUUUUCCGGAGUAGCCCUCUGCCCCACGACUACAGAGG